GUGAUCCGGAUCGAGGACAGUGUAUGGUGGGCAGUUUGACUGGGGCGGUCUCCUCCUAAAGAGUAACGGAGGAGUACGAAGGUGCGCUCAGACCGGUCGGAAAUCGGUCGCAGAGUAUAAAGGCAAAAGCGCGCUUGACUGCGAGACAGACACGUCGAGCAGGUACGAAAGUAGGUCUUAGUGAUCCGGUGGUUCUGUAUGGAAGGGCCAUCGCUCAACGGAUAAAAGGUACUCCGGGGAUAACAGGCUGAUACCGCCCAAGAGUUCAUAUCGACGGCGGUGUUUGGCACCUCGA
rnacentral:rRNA from 1 species